UCCCAGGUGGCUCAGUGGUAAAGCAUCCACCUGCUAAGCAGGAGACCCUGGUUCAACCCCUGGUUUGGGAA
rnacentral:tRNA from 1 species